GACUAAAGAGAGCCCCAGAUAUCUUGUGAUGAACAUGUAUUAAGAGCAAGAAAUCCAUCUUUGCUGAUUUGAAUCUCUGAAUCUGGGGAUUUUUGUUGCUACAGCAUCUCAUAGGCCAUACUGACUGAUCUGUGAGCCUGAAAGUGAAAAAUGCUGUUGGACCUGUAGACAGUUCAGUGGGGAAACAAGAAUAUGAGAAGGAAAAGAUGCCCAGCCCUGGAGAUCCUGCCGUGCUUCUUGUUUUCCUGCCUCCCGGAUCCAACUGUCAUAGUUUAGAUAAGCCAAGACAUUAAUCGACCAGGAGCUCAGUGGUCCUGACAGUUGCAAUGCCUUUUAAAUGAAAUGCUUUUUUGAUUGCCCUAUGCUACAGCUGUACCUGCCACAGAAUAUAGUCAUUCAUCCACUGAGAAAGUCCUUUUAUUUUUUCCCUUGUAGUAGCAGCAGUUUUUCUCUUCCCAAAUAAAGCAAAAUCUAGCUUUUAAGAGAGAGAGCUCUUGAACAAUAGUCAUAUUUUUCUGUCUAAAGCCAAGAGCCAGCCUCAAUUCUAUUGAAUUUGGUUGCAGUUUUUAUUGGAGAAAAGUUGGAGGUAUAACCAAACAUAGGAUUUCAUCUUUGACUAUUAAAUCUCUAAUUUUUCAGAUGAAAAAUACAACAAAAAACCUUGCCACCUCCGCCCUCAACUUCAAUGUUCUCAGAUACUUUGUAACAUUAAAUAAUUUCUCAGGCUUAUCAUUA